GUAUUUUUUUUGUGCAUUCAUUCGCCAAAUUAUAAACAAUUUUUCAUUGUGUUUUGUGGUACAUAUCCUGAUAUGCAUACCUCUCGCUCUUAUUGACUCUUCCUGUAUGUCCUGGUGGUGUAUACCUUUUUGUAUUCCUACCCCCUGUUGUGACAGUACCUGCUGUACCCCAUUUCCUCUAUGGUUUCUACCCUGUAUCCCUAUACCGAUACCUAUAGUACAUAGAGGAAGAAGGGGGCGGAGAAGACCACGAAGGAGGUGGUGAACCUGCGAUGAUGAAACUCAAUUUGUGACAAGUAUAUAUCCGAAUGCAAAUGUAGAAGAUUUUUUUCUGAGCAUUUUUUUACUGUAUCUUCAUUCCAUCUUGAUGACGCUAUUCUAAACUGCUUGUUGUCUCCAGCAAAAAACCAUUAAUAAAAUUGAGCUUGAGAAAUUCGUCUAAAUGUCGAUCAUGGACGAUUUUUAUGUCCGCUGCUUCGUUGGACGUCGAAGUCAAUACGGUCAUGAAUUUUUAGAGUUUGAAUUUCAGCCUAAUGGCAAACUUCGCUAUGUCAAUAACUCACACUACAAACGUGAGACAAUCAUUCGAAAAAAGAUGUUCGUUUCUGACAGUGUUAUGAAGGAGGUCAAAAGAAUCGUUGAAGAAAGUGGAAUUGUUGAGUUAGAUGACUCUACAUGGCCUGAACCUACUUCUCAAGGCAAACAGGAAAUAGAAGUCAUUCUUGGCGACGUUCAUACUUCCUUUAAUACCGCUGAGAUUGGAUCAUUAUCAGAAGUUCGUAAUGAAGAAGAUUUCGCUGGGUUGAGGUCAUUCUACUAUUUGAUGCAGGACUUAAAAUGUUUUGCCUUUGCUCUUGUGUCGAUGCACUUUAAAAUCAAUCCUAUGGGAUAAAUUAUAUCACAAUAAAACUUGUUUAAAAUUGUAAUUAUAUUGAAA